UACGGAGGAUCCAAGCGUUAUCCGGAAUCAUUGGGUCUAAAGGGUCCGUAGGCGGGUUUAUAAGUCAGUGGUGAAAGCCCAUCGCUCAACGAUGGAACGGCCAUUGAUACUGUAGAUCUUGAAUUAUUAGGAAGUAACUAGAAUAUGUAGUGUAGCGGUGAAAUGCUUAGAGAUUACAUGGAAUACCGAUUGCGAAGGCAGGUUACUACUAAUGGAUUGACGCUGAUGGACGAAAGCGUGGGUAGCGAACAGG
rnacentral:rRNA from 1 species